CAAAUGUAAUGUAAUGUAAAACUUAUAUGUUUUUUUCCUCUUCAUGACACAUUUUUUGACUGAUGCAACUUAUAUUCCGGAAAAUACUGUAA